UACGUAGGGGGCAAGCGUUGUCCGGAUUUAUUGGGCGUAAAGAGCGUGUAGGCGGCCAUACAGGUCCGUUGUGAAAACUGGAGGCUUAACCUCCAGACGUCGAUGGAAACCGUAUGGCUAGAGUCCGGAAGAGGAGAGUGGAAUCCCUGGUGUAGCGGUGAAAUGCGCAGAUAUCAGGAAGAACACCCGUGGCGAAGGCGGCUCUCUGGGACGGUACUGACGCUGAGACGCGAAAGCGUGGGGAGCGAACAGG
rnacentral:rRNA from 1 species